AUCAGUGUGGUAUAGUGGUUUGAGCAUUGGACUAUGACUCUGGAGAUCAGGGUUCAAUCCCCUGCUCAGCCA